ensembl:lncRNA
CUUGUUAGCAGGGGCUGUGCAGACAGCAACAUUAACUGUGAAAUGUAAGGGCAGAUAACAGCUGAUUUGAAAGGGGAUUGUGUAAAUCUAGUUAAGGAGCAACUUUAGAAGAUUAUUUUCAAUUACUGAGAUAGCAUCAUGGUUCUCAGGAAAAAAAAAUGGAAAGGUUUGUUCUUUACACCACAUACAGUGUACUGAGUCUAACAAAACCACCUGCUUUCAGGCAAUAAUAUCAGCCAGCAGCUAAUACGCCUUGCUUCCACUUUACCCUCCCCUUCUUCAAGUCAUUUUCAAUUAUUGCUAGCACUCACUCAGCUCUGUGACCAAAAAGUCAUUUCCGCAGGAGAAACAGCUUUAAAAGAAAGAUCCCCUUCAGAAUAAUUACUAAAAGCUUUUAGAUUUCCAAGUGCCAAAUAUACAUAGCCUGGGAGACCUCUAAACUAGGGCCGAGGUCAGGCAGGUAAAGAAAGGGUGCCUGAUCGUUGAUGGAGUGGCAAUUGCUUCACCUGUCGGAACAUUUAACCCAGAACGUCUGGGCCUUGGCCCCCAGUCACCCCAGCUCAUAUACAGGAAUGCACGCAGAUUCAUACGUUGCCCAAAAUGCAAGCUACAUUGCUAGCUACAUGAGAUAACCUUGUCAAGUGAAAUCCCCAUUUGUCAUUUGCUUUAACGUGGCUUGUGUAGGGGGUGCUAAUGCUACAAAGAAUCUAGCCUAAGAGCUUCCCUGGUGUGGGUAGCCUAUCCCUUCUCCGAUGGAUCUGCUGAACCCAGGAACCAAACUGGGGUCUCCUGAAUUGCUGGCGGAUUCUUUACCAACUGAGCUAUCAGGGAAGCCUAAUCAGAAAGAGAAAUUAAAAAUUUAGCAGAAGAGCACACUUCACUGUCUUUAAAAAAAUGUUCUUCUGACACUGAAACUAAAUAUUUAAAAGUCAGAGAAUCAUUAAAGUCACUUUACAUGCACUUCUCCUCCCAUUCAAGGGCUUCCCUGGUGGCUCAGAUGGUAAAGAAUCCACUUGCCAAUGCAGGAGACCCAGGUUUGAUCCCUGAGUCAGGAAGAUCCCCUGGAGGAGGGCAUGGCAUCCUGGAAAAUCCCCAUGGACAGAGGAGCCUGGGGGGCUGCAGUCUGUAGCGUUGCAAAGAGUUGGACACGACUGUGGCUGAAGAGCAACAACUCUUCCCUUUAAUUAGCCACAAUUUUCUGUGCAGAUGUGUGACUACAGAUGCCACCAAAUCCUGCAGAUUCCGCCAUCAGGCUGUCACCUCAAAAGCAAAACGGCACCUCUCUAGAAGCACAGCUCCACAACAUCCUGGAGGACUGGGGCAGCUCUCUGAAGAGGCAAAGCAAACCGAGAGAUGAUGUCACUCUUCAGCUGGUGGGAACUGAGGACUGUGUGCUCAAGGUUUCUCUUCAAAUACCUCUGCUCUUCCUAACCAAAAUGCUCCCUUGUCACAGAAACAGAAAGAAUUCUCUCAGUUGAUCAAGACCACCGCUGCACAGUAGGAAAUCCUAAAGCAGUUCUCUGAGCUUGAGGAAGCACAGCAUCCUAGCCUCAUCCAAGCCACAACCAUGCCCUCUGAGGCCCCAGGACAACAGGGCAUUGUCUUCGCAACGUCUCAGUGGCAGAAGGACGGGCUUGAUACAAUGACGCUUCAAAGCCCGUAUGCUCCCAACUGUCCCAUUAUGGAUUUGUCAUCGUUUUAAGGUGACAAAAAAAACUCUAAAAUGACGUUUACAGUCCACUGCUCCCUUCCUAUAGAAGAACUGAAUGGGGACUUCCCUGGGGGCCCAGAGGUUGAGACGUCACCUUCCAAUGCAGCGGCUGCGGGGCUGAUCCCUGGUCCAGGGGAACUGGGGUCCUGCAUGCCUCCUGGCCAAAAAGCCAGAAGAGAAACAACAGGGGCAAUACUGCAACAAAUUCAGUCAAGACUUUAAAAAUGGUCCACAUCAGGGCCUCCCUGGUGGUCCAGUGGUUAAGAAUCCGCCUUGCAAUGCAGGGAACCCCAGCUUGAUCCCUGGUCUGGGAAGCUCCCUCAUGACCGGGGCAACUAAGCCCCUGUGUCACAACUGCUGAAGUCCGAACACAAGCCUGCCCUCGGCAGCAAGGGAAGCCGCUGCGAUGAGAAACCCACACGCCACAACUAGAGAAAGUCCUUGUGUAGCAAAGAGCGCCCAGUGUGGCCA